UACGGGGGGGGCAAGCGUUGUUCGGAAUUACUGGGCGUAAAGGGCUCGUAGGCGGCCAACUAAGUCGGAUGUGAAAUCCCCAGGCUCAACUUGGGAACUGCAUCCGAUACUGGAUGGCUUGAAUUCGGGAGAGGGAUGCAGAAUUCCAGGUGUAGCGGUGAAAUGCGUAGAUAUCUGGAGGAAUACCGGUGGCGAAGGCGGCCAGCUGGGCCGACCCUGACACUGAGGCGCGAAGGCGUGGGGAGCAGACGGG
rnacentral:rRNA from 1 species